UUCCGGAGCUAACGCGUUAAGUAGACCGCCUGGGGAGUACGGCCGCAAGGUUAAAACUCAAAUGAAUUGACGGGGGCCCGCACAAGCGGUGGAGCAUGUGGUUUAAUUCGAUGCAACGCGAAGAACCUUACCUGGUCUUGACAUCCACAGAAGAAUCCAGAGAUGGAUUUGUGCCUUCGGGAACUGUGAGACAGGUGCUGCAUGGCUGUCGUCAGCUCGUGUUGUGAAAUGUUGGGUUAAGUCCCGCAACGAGCGCAAC
rnacentral:rRNA from 1 species